rnacentral:rRNA from 1 species
CCCUUAGAUGUUCUGGGCUGCACGCGCGCUACACUGAUGCGUUCAACGAGUUUAUGACCUUGCCCGAUAGGGUUGGGUAAUCUUUUUAAAUCGCAUCGUGAUGGGGAUAGAUUAUUGCAAUUAUUAAUCUUCAACGAGGAAUUCCUAGUAAGCGCGAGUCAUCAGCUCGUGCUGAUUACGUCCCUGCCCUUUGUACACACCGCCCGUCGCUCCUACCGAUUGAGCGAUCCGGUGAAUAAUUCGGACUGCAGCAGUGUUCAGUUCCUGAACGUUGCAGCGGAAAGUUUAGUGAACCUUAUCACUUAGAGGAAGGAGAANUCGUANCA